CCCGGGACGCGCGGCUCCCCCUGGCCGCGCUGCUGAGGAGGAGCCGCCGCCGCCUCAUCCUGCGGCACCGGCCGGCGAGCGCAGGUGGCAGUGUAGAAGCCAAGAACAAAAAUUGGCAGAAAUUAUAUUCUGUGUACGAGAAAAUGAAGAGUGUACUCAUGACUAAGCACAGGAACCUGGAAAACCACAGGCUUUAGUCAGGUGAUCGCUGAUGACUAGUCAGCCCACCAAGAAGGGAUUUCAGCAUACAGGUCGUAUUGGAUUAAUGCUGUGGAUCAUUCAACUCAGAACCUGUAGUUGCCCAUCAAUCGCUCAGUAGUCAGUGUAGAUUCUGUCUUUACAAUCAGCAGCUACAUCUGGCUACUGGGUCUCUGAUGACAUCUCGUAUCUUCUGUCUAGACUUUUUGUUGGAUUUUUAUCUUCACUCCUGGGUGCAGAGCAAGUUCACAGUGCUAACAAAUUAACAUCUGAGGUGUGGCCCCAAAUAAAGGAUUGGA